rnacentral:lncRNA from 1 species
AGCCGGCAAACGUACCUCCUUAUGCUUGCAGCUCAAAGAAUUCAGACCUCGAGUCCCAGAAAUCUUUGCCACCAGUUGGGAAUGAUUUUCUUUUUCUUUUUCUUUAAGGAAUAGUACAUAAUAAGUGUUUUUAGUAGACAAAAUAUAAAAAAAUGACGUGGAAUAUGAUGUGUCAUCCACGUCAAGCAAGUGAGAUAAGAUGAAGGUUGAUAAACUGAGAAGCGUCAAAGCGUGAGUCUUGCUCACCUUUCCAGACUUAUAUUUAUAAGAUAAAGUUACAACAAUAUAUGGAAAGGAUAAUUACAAGAAUAAUUCAAAUAAAGUCCUAAUACAACUAAUUGACUAAAAGAUAAUGCUAACACCUUCCCUCAAUCUGAACGGAAAGAAUGAACGUGAAGAUUGGUUGUUAGCUCACAAAAACGGGUGGAAGGCAAUACUUUGGUGAAUAAAUCUGCAAGUUGCUUAGAGGUAUGAACAUGAGAGACCACCAGAUCACCAUGGCUAAUCUUUUCACGAACAAAAUAAUAAUCCAAUGCAACAUGUUUGGAACGAGAAUGAAAAAUUGGAUUGUGAGCUCGAUGAAUGGCUCCAAUAUUGUCACAUUUUGCGGAGACUGGAGAAGUAAGAAAAAUGCCAAGAUCACGAAGAAUAUAUUGGAGCCAAGUAGCUUCAGCAGUUGCAAUAGCAAAAGCUCGAUAUUCAGCUUCAGUACUUGAGCGUGCAACAGUAGGUUGCUUCUUAACCAAGAGAUGAGGUUGGAGCCAAGAAAAAUGCAGAAUUCAGUUGUAGACCGCCUAGUGGCUGAACAACCAGCCCAAUCCGAGUCAGAGAAAACAAUAAGUGCCAAGGGAGAAUUUUUAUACAAUUGUAAGCCCCAAUCGAUGGUGCCACUAAGAUACCGGAAAUCCAUUUUACGGCCUGAAAAUGCAAUUGUCUUGGCUGGUGAAGGAAUUGAGAAGCAAGGUUAACAUCAAAUUGAAUAUCUGGCCUAGUAAAGGGCAAGUAUUGUAGACUUACAAUCAUUUGGCGAUAGAUAGAAGGAUCUUCAAGCAAAGGAGAAGAGGUGGAAUUCCAAUCAAGCUCACUAUGAAGCGGAGUAAGCAUUGGUUUAUACUUUUCCAAUUUAAAGCGAUGUAGAAUUGAAGUAAUGUAACGACGCUGCAGUAAGAGAAGUCCCAAAGAGUUAUGUUUUAACUCAAUGCCAAGAAAGUAGUGAAGUUGUCCCAAGUCCUUCAUUGAGAAUUCUGUACUCAUGGAAGAGAUAAAUUAUGAUAUUAAGGACUUUGAAGAACCAAAAACAGUUAUAUCAUUCACAUAAAUUAAAAGAAUAAUGCAAUCACCCCAGAGUGAAAAAUGAACAUGCUUUGAUCCGAAACAUAUUACUUAAAAUCGAGAUCAAGAAGAAAACGAGCAAGACAAUGGAACCAAGCCCUCGGAGAUUGUUUAAGACCAUAUAGAGCACGUUGCAAUUUGCAGACAUAAUGGGGAUAAUCUGGAUGCUCAAACCCCUUAGGUUGACGCAUAUAAACAGUCUCAGAUAACUCACCAUGAAGGAAUGCAUUUGACACAUCGAGUUGGUGCAUGAACCAAUUUCGCUGAAGAGCCAAGGAUAAGACCAAACGCAUUGUACUAGGUUUUACUACAGGAGCAAAAGUUUCAAAAUAAUCCACUCCAGGCUGCUGCGAAAAAUCUUAAGCCACUAGAUGAGCUUUAAAUCUUUCAACAGAGCCAUUUGCACAAACUUUGAUUCGAAACACCCAUUUGUUGCCAACAAUAUUUGCAUUAGGAGGAGGAGGCAGUCCAAGUAUUAUUUUAAAUGAGAGCAUCGAAUUCAGAACUCAUUGCUUGCAUCCAACGAGUGUAUUUAGAAGCUUGAGCAAAGGAGGACGGUUCAGAUAAAAUGGGACAUGUAGAAUCCAUCAAGGAAGGAAGAAUGUGUGGCUUGAGGGACCCUGUUUUAGAGCGAGUAGUCAUAUGAUGAGUUUGAGGUUGUACAGUUGUUGAUUGUGUGCGAGAUACUUAAAAAAUGUCGGGUGAAGAAAGAGUUGGCGUAUAAUGUGCAUGAGAUGAAGAAUCAUGUACAAUAGGAGGGAGAGAGGAGCAACUCGAAGUGGAUACAAUAAGUUGGUUAGUAGAAGUUACGCGAUCUAAAGGUGAUUGAGAAUGGGAAGGAGAAGGAGUGCCUGGUGAAGAAGGAGAAAGGCUAGAAAUAUUCUCGUGAUUCAAAGGAGUUUGAAGACUCCUAUUGGAAAUGUGAUGCUGCAAAUUAGGUGAAGUAGGAUGACUGUUCCCAUGUAAAAUAGGACUCUACAAAGUUGGAGGAAGUAGAAGAUUUUUCCUAUUUGAAAUAGGUUGUUGCGAAACGGGAGGGGGGAAAUUCCACCAAGACGUGUGAGAUGGACGGGAUAUUUAGAAUUAGGUGAGGUACUUGGAGAAGGAGUAGGAAAUAGAGUCUGAAACGGGAAUGAGUCCUCAACAAAAUGGACAUGCCGAGAGAUAAUAAUCCUAUUUGAGCAAGGGUCCAAACAUCUAAAUCCUUUGUGUUUAUCCGACGAACCAAGAAAUAAGCAAGGUUUUGAUCGAGGUUGAAACUAAGAACAAUGAUUAAAUGCCACAAAGGGAUAACAUAGGCACCCAAAUACAUGAAUUAAAUUAUAAUCUGGCAAAGGACCAUAGAGUAGUUCAAACGGAGAUUUAAAACGCAGCACUGGAAGAGGAGUAACAUUAAUAAGGGAGACAACAUAUAAACAAGCAUCAACCCAAAAUUGAAAAGACAUAGAUGCUUGAAAGAUAAGACACCGUAGGACAUUCGCAAUAUAUCGAUGUUUUCGCUCGGCCCUACCAGUUUGAGCAGAAAUGUGAGGACAAGAAAAACGAUGGACUAUGCCAUUUUGUUUAAAGAAUGAACUAAAUUUUUUGUCAAUGUAUUCCCACCUCCAUCGGACUGGAAAUAAGAAAUAGAAGUGUGGAAAACAUUUUUAACCAUUGCAUAAAAUUCUUUGAAUUUGUCAAAGGAUUCAGAUUUUUCGCGCAUCAAGUAGACCCAAGAGAAUUUAGUGUAAUCAUCGAGGAACAAAAUAUAAUAACGAUAUCCUGAAUUUGAGACAAUAGGAGCAUGCCAUACAUCUGAAUGAAUUAAAACGAAUGGAAAAUUUGCAUUACUACUUGAUAAAGGAAAAGACAUUCUAGUUUGUUUGCCUAAAUGGCAAACAUUACAAGAAUUAUUGUUGAUGGAAGAAGUACUUCGAAUUAAAUUUCUAGAAACUAACUAACUAAGAGACUCUCAACCAGGAUGUCCCAAACGUUGGUGCCAAAGGAAGAAGGCAAGACUUUAGCAAAGAGACCAAAGAUGGAGGAGGCAGAUGGAGCAACACGUAGAGGAUAAAGAGACCCAGAAUUGUUACAGUGGAGCAACGGUGUCCUGGUCUUCAAGUCCUUGACAAAAAAACCAGAGUUAGUAAAUUCAAUAAGACAAUUAUUAUCAGCACACAAACGUUGAAUAGAAAGCAGAUUUUUAGCAAGGGAUGGAACAUAUAAAACUUUCUUUAAGAGAAGAGGCUUAGAAGUUGUUGGAAGGAUAGAGGAACCAGUAGAUUUAAUUGAGAGAAGAGUACCAUCUCCAACCAUGACUUGAGAAGGACCAGAAUAAGGAGUGUGAGACGUAAGAGUAGAAGGAUCUUUUGUCAUGUGCACAGAUGCCCCAGAGUCUGGGUACCAAACUGUUGGUUGAACUUCCUCCAAAUUCAUUGCAGCAAAUGGUUUAGGAAUAUUGUUAGCCACAAAGGAAUGGUUCAACCUGUUUCUGCACUCCAACGCAGUGUGAUUAUAAUGAAAACAAAUUUGACAUUGUUUAGUAGGAACAAAAGGUGGUCUACCCAAAAUACCAGUAGCAGGGGAAGGAGGCCGAGAUUGAGGUUGGAAACCAGACCAUGAAGAGUUGUGGUAUCCUCGACCCCUACCAUAUUGUCCCUUGUUAUUUUUGCCACGACCUCGUCCAUGGAAGUAUCCUUUUGUAGGCUGAUUUCCAUUGAAGGGAGAUGAUGAAUUAGAAGUGGUCUUCGCUUGAGUUGACGCAAGCAACGCAGUUUGAUCAUUUGACUCUUCAGAAUCAAUUACAUUAAUAUGAGCUUCUUCGGUGAGAAGUAGUGGUCGUAAUGCAAUAAAAGAAGGAAGUGAGCCAGUAGCAUUUAAUCCAGACACAAAGGUACGAUAAGAUGAAGGCAAUCCUUGCAAAGUUUGAGUGACUAAAUCAUCAUCAAUCAGAGGUUACCAAUUGCCCUGAGAGAGUAGGCAAUAGAGUGAAGUUGCUAAAGAUAAUCUUCCAUAGAAAGGGGACCUUUCUUGAAAUUUUGGAAUUUCGACUUAAGGUGAAUGGAUGAGGAAGAGACUUGAUCCAAAUAUAGCGAUGCGAGGGUGUCCCAAGCCUAUUUAGAUGUCUCACAAGUAUAGUUCAAAAGUGUGUCAAGAACAAUAGAAGAAAGUGUUGCAUUAAUCCAACUUAAUGCAAUAGUAUCCAAUUGAAUCCAAAGCUUGUAAUCAGCGCGGUCUGGUGAUGGACAUGGUAUGGUUCCAUCUACUAAGGAAAGAAGGUUGUGACUUUUAAGGACAGUGAGAAAAACUCUCUUCCAGGUGAGGUAAUUGACAUAUGUCAAUUCGAUAGAAACAAAACCUUUGAUAUUGGAAACUGUUGGAGGGGGGAUGGGGAGGCCAAGAGAAGAUUGAUUCAUGGCGGUUUGAGCAGAAGAGGAAGAAGAAUUUUCUAGAGCCAUUGAAGGGGAUCGUUUAGGGCUCUGAUACCAAGAUGAAGGUUGAUAAACUGAGAAGCG